rnacentral:rRNA from 1 species
UACGGAGGGUGCAAGCGUUGUCCGGAAUCACUGGGCGUAAAGGGCGCGUAGGUGGCGCGGGCAGUCAACGGUGAAAGUUCGGGGCUCAACCCUGAAUCGGCCGUCGAUACUCCCGGGCUUGAGCACUGUAGAGGCAGAUGGAAUUCCGGGUGUAGCGGUGGAAUGCGUAGAGAUCCGGAAGAACACCGGUGGCGAAGGCGGUCUGCUGGGCAGUAGCUGACACUGAGGCGCGACAGCGUGGGGAGCGAUCCGG